rnacentral:rRNA from 1 species
UACCUGUGGGGCAAGCGUUGUUCGGAAUUACUGGGCAUAAAGGGUGUGUAGGUGGCUUGUUAAGUCAGGGGUGAAAGUUUUCGGCCCAACCGGAAAAUGGCCUUUGAUACUGGCGAGCUCGAGUGCGUGAGGGGUAACCGGAACGAGCAGUGUAGCGGUGAAAUGCGUAGAUAUUGCUCGGAAGGCCAACGGCGAAGGCAGGUUACUGGUGCGCAACUGACACUGAGGCACGAAAGCGUGGGGAGCAAACAGG